UUGUCGACUAUAUAGUAUCAAAUUGAAAUCUAAAAUGUUUUAUUAAUUUGCUAUUAUGCCGAAAAAAUAGUAGCAUACUAUGAAUUUGAUUAUUCUAUUAAUUUGCUGUAUUAUUCAAAUAAAAAAUGUUUUAUUGGGGUGAUACGAUUUAUAUAAUGUAGUUGGGAACUUCAAGAAGUUUUGCGUAUGGAAACGUCAAUAGUACUAUAAUUAUUGUACAGAACCAAUAAUAGUACUGUGAUUAUUCUAGAGACAUUUAGUUGUAUAUAUCCAAAUGAAGUCCAUAUUAGCAAUAUAUACAUUGAAUGACAAUAAAAGCUCAGCUCGUACCAUUUCGAACAUGAAGAGACCAUUUUAUCCUGGCGUGAUAACGAAAGACUCUAUUUCAUACUUUGUCGCGUUGCAGGGAGUAGAAAGCGUGUCAGAUGAUAGAGUGGUAUAGAUUGUCAGCUGGAAGGUUUCUCCUCCACUCGUUUCUCUUCCAUUCUUUUUUAACAUUUUUUUUUCACAUUCUUUUUCUUUCUACAAUUUUUCUCUGUGAAAAAAUUUCAUUCUCUCAUCUUUUUCAUAAUAUAAUUUUAGUUUGAGAUAAAAUUUUCAUCUCUGAAAAAGCUUGAUUUUGUAUCGUUUGAUGUAACAAUAACUUAGCAUGUUAUAAACAUAAAUGAUUAAUUAUUUAAUUCUGUAGUAUUUGCUGAAAAAGCGUAAAUCUAGGAUAGUAAACUUCUGGGAAUGAAAACUUGAUAACUAUUUUUUCCGGGUUUAUGAUGAACCACACUAGAACUUAUGAAUGAAACUGACCAUCAAAUACUUUACAAGUUAUUAGCGAGUUAACAGAGUUUUAACAUGUUACAAAUUUGUUAGCGAGUAAAUAAAUUUUUUAACAUGCUACAAACUUUGUUAUCAAGUUAUGUUUAUUUAUAACACGCUAAACAAGUCAGUAGCUUAACAAUAUACUAUAUAAUUUUGUAUUAUUUUUAAUAUAACGCAUUAUUUAACGGUUACACAUAAAGUUAACUAACUAAUAUUAAAGUUAACGAGUAAAAUAAAAAGAACUUAGCAUGUUAUAAAUAAGUUAGCAUGUUAACAAUAAAAAUAGCGUAUAAGUACAUAUGUUUACUUUUACGUAAGUAGUUAACCUGGUAACAUAAAUCACUUAAAAUCAGAAAAAUAUAGUCCUGUCGACCUUCAUAGGUAUACAUGUAGAGUUUUCUUUAAGGUUUAAGUCGGCUCUGCCUUUUGAUUAUACUCCGCCACGGCAUCUUUUUAAUCGGCUCUGCCCAAGUUCUUGCUCUGUUCCUAGAAACAAAAUCAGAACCUCAUUCAUCAUCAGAUGAAAGCAAUCAAAAUCUAUACGCUGUCGGUUGAGAAGAUCAUCGUUGCGGUGGCAAUACAUGUAACAAGAAUUUUAGGUGAUUAAUAAAGGGAUGGUGAAAAUCUCGGCUAAUGAUUUAAAAUCGGAGAAAAAAAGAAAAAAAUGUAGCUGGAGAAGAAAAAAAUCAGAGAGAAGAAAGAGAGUUAUGAAAACACAUACAGACGUGUUCUCGGGUUUAAGCCCACAUGUCUGACACAUACUGGCACAACUAUUAGGAGGUGGAGUAGGCUGUAUAGGGUUAAAAUUGGUAUGGUUUAACUGAUUAGAGAAGCAAUGGCAAUCUCUUAAUUAUUGACCAAAUAAGGGCACAGAGGCCAAUUAUCUCAUUAUUCUAAUGUAGUGUAGGAGGUGAUGGUUGGCAAAAUAGUCAUUAAACGUUAAUCCGAUGUGGAAAUAUAUUAAAAAGUAUUUUUUAUUAAAAAAUAUUAUUGAAAUAUAAUUUAAAAUUAAUUUAUUUAAUUAUAAAUAGAUAUAAUAAAAAUUCAACUGACUAUACAGUUUUUUAUAAAAUUAAAAUUAACUAUAUUUGUGCAAACUUCAUCUAUUAUAAAACAACAAAAAUUAUCUAGAGAGAAUAUAUGUUAGUUAUAAAUGUAAACAUCAUACAUUAACUAAGAUUUCAUGUGCACUAUUUCCACGGUGAAAAAAAAAUUCAUUAACUUUUCUUUUUGUAAUUUUUUGUUGGCUAUCUUUAUACUCUAAUUUUUUCUAUGAACCAAUUUAACAAAAUAAAAUGUUAAUAAUAUAUUUUAUUUUGCGUGUUAUUUUGAAAAAUACUUUAUAAAGUAAAUUACCAAAAAUAAUACUUUCUAUUGAAAUAUAAACACAUAAUUAUACAUCCUAAGAGUAUCUCUAAAAACCCUCUUAUAACUUCAAAUAUAAAGGUUUGUGCAUUCCAAAAACAACCUUAAAACCUUAAUUAUAAGUUUUUGUAUAGUGAAACCUCAAAUAUAAAGUUUCACUGUACAAAACCUUAUAUUUAAAGUUCCUUAUUUUCUAGUCUUUUUACUUUUGUAACUUUAAAAUAAUGUUAUUAACUUUCUUGUUUAAUCAUUUUAGUCAUUUUUAAUACAAAUUAUUUUAUUAACACUACAAAAAAUGUUAUAUAAAAAUAGUAUUACAUCAAACAAAUAAAAAAUACAAAAAAUUGAAUACAAGAUACAAAAUAAAAAGUUCAUUUAUCAUUUCGAAAUGCUUUAAUUGAUCAUAUAUGUGAUCAUUAUGAAAGUCAUUAUACGGAAUAAUUAUGUAACUUAUUUAAAUUUAAUGAAUUAGUUUGUAUGCUUUCACAUGGAAUAUUUUAAUACAAUAUUUUAUCUAUUAGUUUUGUUUAUGAUACUUUUGUUGUAUACUUUAUAGUUAUUAUAAAAGAUUUAUGCUUUUAGUUAAGUUUUGUUAAAUAUAAGGACUGUUAUGUAAAAUAUAAAAGUUUUAAGGUUUAAUAUAAAGUUUUGUUUUUAGAGAGAAACAUCCUCGAACCUUAUAUUUAAAGUUUUACCAAACAUUAAAAUAAAAGGGCUUUUGGAGAUGCUUUAAAUCAUGCAUGAAAGUGUUUAUGAAAAAAUAUUAUGGAAAAAAUAUCGCAGACGUAGAUAGAGAGAAAGAGUUCAUAAAAUUAAAACUGUAAAUGAAAGUUUUCCAUUUAUCUUAGUUCCAAAUUAAAUUACAUCGAUCAGAAUUUCAUGCAGUCGCAUUCAAAUUAAAGUGUUUAGGGAAAAAUAUUAAGGAAAAAUACUGCAGACGUAGAUAGAGAAAAAGAGUUCAUAAAAUUAAAACUGUAAAUAAAAGUUUUCCAUUUAUCUUAGUUCCAAAUUAAAUUACAUCGAUCAGAGUUUCAUGCAGUCGCAUUCAAAAAUAUUCAUUUCACUUUGCAUUAAGCUGAUCCACCUGAUUCUACUAGUUAUGCCAGUUGAUGUAAGGAAAAAUGAUUAUUGAUUACACGAAGUAUUGACUAUCACAUAGCUAACCAUGCAAAUUAAAUUAAUAUAUACGUAGCUACACGAAAUAUAUAUUAUGCAUGACAACAUCCUUCAUUUUAAUGAUGUUAUGUAGUUAACUUCACGAGUUUAAUUUCGUUCAUCCAAAAUUGAUGUGGAAGUGAAAUACCGUUUAAAUAUCCCAUCUUUAUCAAUAAAAUAUGGUAUACAUGACCGUAAUUUAACUAAAUAUAAAAGUUAUAUAAGAUAUUAUUUAACUUUGUUUUUAAUUAUUUUAAUCUGUUUUGUUAUUAACUCUUAAUAAAAAAAUUUGUAAUUUGUUUGAUUAAUUGUGUGGUAUAUACUUAUUUGAUCAAUUUUUUAUUAUAAAAGUUAUUUCAUGUCAAUUUACUAAUUUUAACAUUUUAUCUGUUUAAUAUAAAAUCAAUUAAAUUAAUGAGUUAAUUUAUUUAUAUUUUCACAAAAAAUUGCAUCCAUUUAAAAAUGUAUCAAAUAAGUAUAUAUCACACAAUUAAUCAAACGAAUUACAUAAAUUUUAUUAAAAUUCCAUAAGAAAACAGAUUAAAAUAAUUAAAAAAUAAAAUUACAUAAUAUCUUAUAUAACUUUCAGAUUUGAUAUAAAUAAAAUAAUAUUAUUAUAUAUUUUUCAGAAGCACUCAAAUAAAAAUGUUAAAACACUAAUUAUCAAAAAAAUGUUAAAACAUAUUGAUUUUGUAAACUAUAUUUUGUUAAAAAUAUUCUUACGCUUUUAAAACGUGGAUUAAAAUAUCAUUUAGUUAAGUUACGGCCGGGUCAGUCAUAUUCUUAUUUUUUUUUUUGGUAAACAUGUUAAAUUGUAUUACCAUUUUCGAGUUUUUUACAGAGAUUACAGAGGAUACAAGUAGCGGAAGAACAACAACUACAACACAAAAACAACAACUACAACACAACAACGAAGAACAGAGUGCAAAACACGACUACUAUACCUAAUGCCGAAACCGGGUCAGUCAUAUUUUAAUUGAUGAAACAAGAUAUUUUAACGAUCUUUGACAUCUACAUCAAUUUUUCGAUGAACGAAAUUAAACUCGUGUUAACUACAUAACAUCAUUAAGUUGAGGAUAUUGUCAUGCAUAACAUAUUUUUCGCAUAGUUAGGUAUAUGUUAGAUUAUUUUGCCUGGUUAACUAUACGAUGGCCAAUACUUCAUGUAGUCUUCAAUCAUUUUUUCAUAACGUAAUAGUCAUUUUACCAGUUUGGCGACCACCACCGCUCACGCUUUUUAUUGCAUUGUUAAAAUUCGAGUGAAACAAAGGAAGAUAGAGUAGUAUAGAAACGAAUAGGAGUGUUCCGAGGAUCAAACUCGUGACCUGGGACCUCUCGCACUCUGAAAUGAAAAUCAUACCAGUAGAAGUCUAGAACAAACACUGAAACACACAGUUGCUAGAAAUUUAUUAAAUUAAUUUAACCAGACUAUAGGCUUGUGUGGUUUAUGUGGAUGAUUGCGUAAUCUUAUAUGCUUAUGCUGCUACUAAAAUUUAGUCAUGUGACAUGUCAGUUUUUUCUGCACUUUUUGGCCAUAAAGGCCUUCAUGCUCUGAAGAAAACAGCGGUAAGAUAAAUCACUAAACCAAAUAAGAGAUGCAAUUUACAAUGCUUUCGCGCGCUCGCCCGAACAUGUGAUGGUUAGUUGGUGACAUUUUUGUUAAACCAAAGUACAUACGCAAAUCAAUCUCACGUACUCAAUACGUUUGAAUUUAUAGACUUUUAUAAAUCUUACUCGAUUUAUAAAUCCUUAUAAAAAGUUACGAAAUAAUUAUGUUUCUUCUUCUCACAGCUUAACGAUUGUGGUUUGAUAGAGGCUUGCCUAAUCAAUCUCCUAAGACAGAAUUUUGCCCCUAUAUUGGUGUGUAUAGUUUUAUAGGCGUCUAUCUUGAGGAUACAACUAUCGAUCUCCGUACAAUACACCCGUACCGAGAUCCUAGCAAACUUUACUUUGAGUUUUCCUUCAGAAACUUAUUAUGGGGAAGAAGAAGAUUAAAUCCAAUUGAUUCUCAUUAAUCUUCUCUCUUCUCUCUUUUAUCCCUUUCUUCUCAUAUUGCAUUUGAUCACUUUAUAUAAUGACUCAAGUGGUGCCUUUAAUCAACGCAUACACUAAUUCAAGCGGUGCCUUUUAAUCAACAUAUAUGUUGAUUCAUAACCGACACGUUUUGUCUGAAGUAUUGCUUCCUUUAACUAAUUAAAGUCUAACAAUACCCCACAUUUUCUAUUCAAACUCAACAAUACCCCACAUUUGAAUAAAAAAUAAGUUUAAAUAAUUCCGAGGAAAUAGAAUCAAUAUGCAUCGGAAAAUGUGUAUUUUGGACUUGAACCUUUCCUAGUAACAACUUAUCGGAUUUACUUUGUGGGUAGUGAACUAUAGUCUUGAAUUAACCACAUUUUAUAGUAAACCUAGACAAUAAGUGAAACACAUAUCUCAUCAACUCAUUUCUAGUUUAUACGGUUGUGUUCAUUUUGGUCAUGAACAUAUUCUGACUUCAGGAGAGUUCUAGAGAAUUUAGCCAUAUCAAUUCUCAUAGGUGCGACCCGACACCACUUCCAUAUAGGUAACGUUAGUUAAAGAUAGUCCAUUCUAUCUCUCUUCUACAAAAGAUACUAACAUUAUUAAGAAUAAAUUAUUCAACCCUUAAUCAUCAAUGGAUACACAUUAUUAUUUCAUAGGAAUGAGAAAUGUGUAAAACGUCUUGAGUCUUCCUCCACUAGUUUGCCUAUUGAACCUAGACCAUGGGAUCUCCAAUGUUGCUAGGUUAGGUUUCCAUCAAGUGAUGAUUCAUUGUGUUGGCUUGAGACUCAUUCCCCUCGAGAUGAAUACAACUUGCUUUUUAGAUAGGCUUUUGGUCAAAGUAUCAACCAAGUUAUCCUUUGAUCUAAUGUAAUCCAAUGCUAUCACCCCAUUGGAAAGCAAUUGUCAUGCAUGUCUACGUCUAUACGUCUUGACUUGCCAUUGUAAAUUUUUUUUUCUCUUCUCGGUUUCCCAUAUGAGAUUGAGUAAGUGAAUCACGUACCAUCUGACUCUUGUUUCACUCUGAUUCCAAGAAUUAUAACAGUCAAUCCCAUAUCUUUCAUGAGCAAUAACUUAGAAUAUCUUCCACUUGUUUUACCACAAAAACAAUGUCACUAAUCUUAAAGUUUAAGAACUUUCCCACGAUGAAUGUCUUAACGCUUGCAACUUCUAAAUUAUAUUUCUUCUCUAAUGAUUCCCACAACUGUUUUGAAGUUUGGAAUAUAUGACAAACAUCAUAGAGAAAAAACGUUCAAGGCGUUAAGAAUAUAAUUCUUGCACAAAAACUCGUUUUGUGUCCAUGCCUCUGAAGCUUUAAUGACUUCACCAGAAAUAUCACAUUCUACGGGUAAUUUUGUUCCCUUAGAAGUCAAGCACUCUGCCAGAUUCAAUGUCGUGCAAUAAUACAACAUCAUUUGUUGUCAUCUUUUGAAAUCCUCUUCUCGGAAUACAAAAGGCUUCUCUAUAUGACUUUUCAAAAUUGCAAUAGAUUGAUCCAUCUUGCUUUCUUUGUAAAGAACAAAGGAAAAUUCUGUCUUAGAUUGUUAAACCAAAGUACAGAUGCAAAUCAAUCUCACGUACUCAAUACGUUUGAGUUUAUAGACUUUUAUAAAUCUUACUCGAUUUAUAAACCCUUAUAAAAAGUUACGAAAUAAUUAUGUUUCUUCUUCUCACAACUUAACGAUUGUGCUUUGAUAGAGGCUUGCCUAAGCAAUCUCCUAAGACAGAAUUUCGCCCAUACAAUGGUGUGUGUAGUUUUAUAGGCGUCUAUCUUGAGGAUACAACUAUCGAUCUCCGUACAACACACCCGUACCGAGACCUAGGCCUGGGCGUUUGGGUCUUCGGGUCGGGUUCGGGCCGGUUCUUUUCGGGUCCGGGUCUUUUCGGGUCCUAAAUAUUUAGACCCAAUAGGUAUUUAGAAAUUUUCGGUUCGGGUUCGGGUCGGUUCUUCUCGGGUCCGGAUCGGUUCGGGUCUAUAAUUAAAAUACCCAUAAAAUACCCGUAAUUUUUCGGGUCCAUAUCGGGUCCAGGUCAGGGUAUUUAAGAUCUGAAAAGGACAUGAUAUACCCAAUUUCAUCAACUUUAGUUGAAUAUUUGUCAUAUAUAUCUAAAAUUUUACAAAACAACUUAAAUGAAACUAUUAAUAAUUAAUAUAAAACAUUUUAAAACUCUAAAUUUUACAUUUUAAAGCUUUAUAUUACUUAAAAAAUGUUAAAAAAUAAUAACAAAUGUUGUUCACAAAAGAUAUUUCAACUAAAUCAUAAAAUAAUAUAUAUAUAUAAAAUAGAACACAAAAACAUCAUAGUUUUAGAUAUACAUGUUUUUAAGUCGGGUACAAAUCGGGUCUAUUCGGGUCAGUUCUUUUUGGGUCCGGGUCUAUUCGGGUCGGUUCCUUUUUGGUUCCGGUUCUUUCGGGUAAAAAAAAUUUAGACCCAAAAAAUACUUGUAAAUUUUCGAUCCGGUUCCGGAUCGGAUAUUUUUGGGUCGGUUCUGGUUCGGGUCUUCGGAUCCAAGUUAAAAUGUCCAGGCCUACCGAGACCCUAGCAAACUUUACUUUGAGUUUUCCUUCAGAAACUUAUUACGGGGAAGAAGAAGAUUAAAUCCAAUUGAUUCUCAAUAAUCUUCUCUCUUCUCUCUUUUAUCUCUUUCUUCUCAUAUUACAUUUGAUCACUUUAUAUAAUGAUUCAAGUGAUACUUUUAAUCAACGCAUACGCUAAUUCAAGCGGUGCCUUUUAAUCAACGUAUAUGUUGAUUCAUAAUCGACACGUUUUGUCUGAAGCAUUGCUUCCUUUAACUAAUUAAAGUCCAACAAUUUUCAAUUCUUGAUUUGAAGAGAAACAACUAAAAUGUUCUUUUGUUUGUUUCGGUCCCAUGUUCGGAUUCUUCUUUUUGGGCCUUCCACCGACGGUCGAGUAGGCACCUACUUACCUAAAAGCCUGAUGUUAUAUUAAAUAUUUCUUCAAUAAAAUCAACAGAUCACAAAAUGAUAUCGUUUUCCUUCAUUUGUUAUAGUUGAAAAGUGGCAGAUUUCACAGAGAAACAUAUUUACAAAGGGGAGUAUCAUUUACCUGGUUUUUAAAAAACUUAAAAGGCAAGAGUGACGGCUCUUGGAUUCUCAACACUCCAGGCCUUCUCCUACAAUUCAAUGUUCAUCGAAACAAUCACCAGCGAUAUCCAGUAUAAAGAAAUCAUCAGAAUCGUCUCCGAUAUCCGAUCGAUCUCCUCUGGUUUUCCAUGUAUCUCUUUCUCUCAUCUCUCUAGAUUGAAAAACUUUUCGGCCGAUAAUUUAGCUAAACAGGCCUUACAGGGCUUCUCUCCUUUGUACUGAACUCGUUGAGUUGGAUCAUCAUUUUGGGUAUUUCUCUCUUUUUUCUCUUUUUAAUGAAUUUCUGUUACCAAAAAAAAAAGACAAGUGUCAUAGACUCAUAAGAGAGGCUCGUCGGUCGUCAUAAGAGAGAGACUCCUUAACACCAACGAAUUUUAUGACUUGACAAAAUAUACACAUUUUUUAUACAGAUUCAGUAACCAAAAACUAUAGAUUUACAAACUAAUUUUAUACUAAUUUACGCACGUUUCAGGAACCGGACUGUACCAUAUAUUCUGGGGACGACUGCCUAUUCCCCCUUUAAACAUUACAACCCUAUCUAUUCCCACCCAUACUAUUAACUUCUUGAAAAACCCACCUAUAGAUAUGAAUUCUCUUCACAUCUCCCCCUAAUCUAUUUAGUUCUGCCCAAAUCCCCCUCUCUAAUCUAAUUUCGAAAUUGAAAUAAAAGAUAGAUUAAUUGCGUUUAGGAAAUAGCGAUUGCCCAUUAAAUGAAUCCUCACCCGACCCAUUAACAUCCAACCGAAUCAAUUAAAAUUGAAAUCAAUUUGAGUGUAAAAAAAGUUAGGUUUUUGUCUUUCUCUUUCUCUUUCGUCAUGAUACAUAGACAACUACGAAGAACAAAGAGAGAGAGAACAUAAGAGAGAGUGACCAAGAACAGAGAGAGAGAAAAAAACGAAUAACAGAGAGAGAGAAGAAGAACAAAGACAGUGACGAAGAACUUUUCCAUCAAAUCAUGACUAGCUCAGCCUUUUCUCUGUUGCCACAGAGGAGACAAUGGAAGGCAUACCAACACAACGCUGGUGUGGUAAGAAUGUGGCCGUCUUGGUCUCACGGACCAAAAAAAAAUCCGUAUGGAAGGUUUUAGUUACAGGUUUUUGGUUAUAUGUAAUGACAUUCUUGUAUGUUGUGUUUGGAACAUGUCUUUAGACUUAUGUAAUGAAUUAUGUUCCUUUCUCUUAUGUGUUUGGAAAAUGUAUUUCUCGUUGAACCUGAAUAUGAGUUUGGACAAAAUCACAAGUUUUACAUUAAAAAUCGAACAAGUCUUACAUAAAAAAAAAACAGAACAAGUCUCACAAGUCGUCAUCAUCUUUCCUCUUUAUUUCAAGUUGUGUCUCAGCGGUUUCAAUUCCGUUUGCCUCAUCUCUGUCAUUAUAAAUAACCCACCAAACAAAAAGAAAACAAAGAGUUUGAAGUAAAGAUGAUCUUACAAGCUUACCUAGCAACAAGAUAUAGUGUUGAACAAAAAAGAAAGAAAAAAAAGAAAGCAACAAGAUAUAUUCGACGCUCCUCUGUAGUCUGGUUCAAGCUUCUCCAAACCAGACAUUAAGCUCUCUCUGUGCGUGGUUGAAGCUCCUCUGUUUCUUCUCUCUAUCACUCUCACGUCUCCAUCUCUGUUUCUUCUCUCUCUCUCUCUCUCUCAGACUUUCUCGUCUCCAUCUCUGUCUCUUCUCUCUUUCUCAGUCUCUCUCGUCUCCAUCUCUGUCUCUUCUCUCUUUCUCAGACUCUCUAUGUCAGACUCUCUCGUCUCCAUCUCUGUUUUUUCUGUCUCUCUCUCUCUUUCAGACUCUGUUUCUUCUCUCUCUCUCUUUCUCUCUCUCCAAGACUCCGUCCUCUCCAUCUUCGUUUCUUGUAUCUGUGUCGAACGCAAAGAGGAAAGCAAAAUCCCCAAAUCAAUUUUGUUUUAAGAAGCCAGGUCUCCGGUCCGGUUGCAAAACGCAGUUAACGUAACUCGAGUUACAAUCGCCUUUUAGAGCUUAAACAUUGAUUUCAAAUUUUCGAUUUCAGAGGUUUAAUUGAGCAGAGUUAAAAUGAUUGGGGGUUAAUAUGAAGAGAUUUAUAUGUACAGGGGGAUUAGUAAAGAGCUCAGAGCAUGAUUAACCCAACAACCCUAUUAAGAUCUCUUAGUGAAUUUUUUAAUAAUAAAUGUAAUUAAGUUAAAAAUUUAAUUAAGAGACAUUAUCAUUUUUAUCCUCAAAUGCUAGUCUCUCGAUAAGAGUUCUUAAAAAAAUUGCAUCAUCUCCUCUAUUAGUUCAUAAUCACAAACCAACAGAAAACUAAAGCCAACAUUAUGAAAUUAGUAAUGAAACCGUUUCUAUAACAUUGAAUUAACACAGGACACAGGAAAGGCUUUUCUUCCUCUAUCAACAAGCAGCAAAGCUCUUCCCCCACCAGCAGCAGAAGCAGCUACAACCACCACCGUGGAUGAAAAAGAACCUGAGCCAGCAAUCAAAGCCGCCACUGUACAAGUAACCAUAGAUCCAGCGACCGAAACUGCUACGGAACAAGUAAUCACAGAACCAACAAAAACAGAAGCCAAACCGAAACCUUAUCCAAGACCAUUAUCUCCAUAUGCAUCGUACCCAUACUUGAAGCCUCCAACAUCUCCCACACCAGUAAGCAGCAAAGGUCUUCCCGCACCAGCACCAGUAGCAGCAGAAGCAGCUACAACCACCAUCGUCGAUGAACCAGAACCUGAGCUAGAGCCAGCAAUCAAAGCGGCCACUGCACAAGUAAACUCAGAGCCAGCGGCCAAAGCCGCCACUGAACAAG